GGAUGAACGCUGGCGGCGUGCUUAACACAUGCAAGUCGAACGGGCCUUCGGGCUAGUGGCGGACGGGUGAGUAACGCGUGGGAAUCUGCCCUCAGGAGGGGGAUAACGGCCGGAAACGGCCGCUAAUACCCCAUAUGCCGAGAGGUGAAACGAAUUUCGCCUGAGGAUGAGCCCGCGUCUGAUUAGCUUGUUGGUGAGGUAAUGGCUCACCAAGGCAUCGAUCAGUAGCUGGUCUGAGAGGAUGAUCAGCCACACUGGGACUGAGACACGGCCCAGACUCCUACGGGAGGCAGCAGUGGGGAAUUUUCCGCAAUGGGCGCAAGCCUGACGGAGCAACGCCGCGUGAGGGACGAAGGCCUCUGGGCUGUAAACCUCUUUUCUCAAGGAAGAAGACAUGACGGUACUUGAGGAAUAAGCCACGGCUAAUUCCGUGCCAGCAGCCGCGGUAAUACGGGAGUGGCAAGCGUUAUCCGGAAUUAUUGGGCGUAAAGCGUCCGCAGGCGGCCUUGAAAGUCUGUUGUUAAAGCGUGGAGCUCAACUCCAUUUCAGCAAUGGAAACUACAAGGCUAGAGUGUGGUAGGGGCAGAGGGAAUUCCCGGUGUAGCGGUGAAAUGCGUAGAUAUCGGGAAGAACACCAGUGGCGAAGGCGCUCUGCUGGGCCAUAACUGACGCUCAUGGACGAAAGCCAGGGGAGCGAAAGGGAUUAGAUACCCCUGUAGUCCUGGCCGUAAACGAUGAACACUAGGUGUCGGGAGAAUUAACCCUUUCGGUGUCGUAGCCAACGCGUUAAGUGUUCCGCCUGGGGAGUACGCACGCAAGUGUGAAACUCAAAGGAAUUGACGGGGGCCCGCACAAGCGGUGGAGUAUGUGGUUUAAUUCGAUGCAACGCGAAGAACCUUACCAGGGUUUGACAUCCUGCGAAUCCCUUGGAAACGAGGGAGUGCCUUCGGGAACGCAGUGACAGGUGGUGCAUGGCUGUCGUCAGCUCGUGUCGUGAGAUGUUGGGUUAAGUCCCGCAACGAGCGCAACCCACGUUUUUAGUUGCCAGCAUUCAGUUGGGCACUCUAGAAAGACUGCCGGUGAUAAACCGGAGGAAGGUGUGGAUGACGUCAAGUCAUCAUGCCCCUUACAUCCUGGGCUACACACGUACUACAAUGCUACGGACAAAGGGCAGCAAACUCGCGAAAGCUAGCAAAUCCCA
rnacentral:rRNA from 1 species